rnacentral:tRNA from 1 species
UCUCUGGUAGUCCAGUGGGUAGGACUUUGCAGUUCCACUGCAGGGGGCACGGGUUCAACCUCUGGUCAGGGAA